GCGUGAGUGAUGAAGGCCUUAGGGUUGUAAAGCUCUUUCGCCGGUGAAGAUAAUGACGGUAACCGGAGAAGAAGCCCCGGCUAACUUCGUGCCAGCAGCCGCGGUAAUACGAAGGGGGCUAGCGUUGCUCGGAAUCACUGGGCGUAAAGCGCACGUAGGCGGGUCGUUAAGUCAGGGGUGAAAUCCUGGAGCUCAACUCCAGAACUGCCUUUGAUACUGGCGACCUAGAGUUCGAGAGAGGUUGGUGGAACUCCGAGUGUAGAGGUGAAAUUCGU
rnacentral:rRNA from 1 species